GACGGAGGGUGCAAGCGUUGUUCGGAUUGACUGGGCGUAAAGGGCGUGUAGGCGGCCGGCCAAGUCUGAUGUGAAAGCCCGGGGCUCAGCUCCGGAAGUGCAUCGGAAACUAACUGGCUCGAGCGCGAUAGAGGAGGGUGGAAUUCCUGGUGUAGCGGUGAAAUGCGUAGAUAUCAGGAGGAACACCGGCGGCGAAGGCGGCCCUCUGGAUCGUUGCUGACGCUGAGACGCGAAAGCGUGGGGAGCAAACAGG
rnacentral:rRNA from 1 species